rnacentral:rRNA from 1 species
CGGAGAGGGCGCAUGAGACCCUUUUACCACAUCCAAGGAAGGCAGCAGGCGCGCAAAUUACCCAAUCCCAACACGGGGAGGUAGUGACAAUAUGUAACAAUAUACGGCCUUAUACGUCGUAUAAUUGGAAUGAGUACAAUUUAAAUCCCUUAACGAGGAACAAUUGGAGGGCAAGUCUGGUGCCAGCAGCCGCGGUAAUUCCAGCUCCAAUAGCGUAUAUUAAAGUUGUUGCAGUUAAAAAGCUCGUAGUUGGACCUUGGACCUGGACAGGCGGUCCGCCUCACGGCGAGUACUGUCUUGCUGGGUCUUUCCUCUUGGUGAUCUGUUGUUUCGGCAGCAGGGAACCAGGACCUUUACUUUGAAAAAAUUAGAGUGUUCAAAGCAGGCUCGACGCCGGAAUAUAUUAGCAUGGAAUAAUAAAAUAGGACGUGCGGUUCUAUUUUGUUGGUUUUUGGAAUCGCCGUAAUGAUUAAUAGGGACAGACGGGGGCAUUAGUACUCACAUGCUAGAGGUGAAAUUCUUGGAUUUUGUGAACACUAACUUCUGCUAAAGCCUUUGCCAAGGAUGUUUUCAUUAAUCACGAACGAAGGCCAGGGUAUCAAAACACAAUUAUAUACCGUUGUACUCUUACCCCUAAACUAUGCUCACCAUGGAUCGGUCGAUGUUAUCUUUUUGACUCUAUCGGCACC